rnacentral:rRNA from 1 species
CUACGGGCGGCAGCAGUGAGGAAUUUUGCGCAAUGGGGGUAACCCUGACGCAGCAACGCCGCGUGAGUGAUGAAGGCUUUCGGGUCGUAAAGCUCUGUCAAGUGGGAAGAAUAUACGAAAUGCUAAUACCAUUUUGUACUGACGGUACCACUGAAGGAAGCACCGGCUACUCCGUGCCAGCAGCCGCGGUAAUACGGGGGGUGCAAGCGUUAUUCGGAAUUAUUGGGCGUAAAGAGCACGUAGGCGGCCGCUUAAGUCAGAUGUGAAAGCCCGGGGCUCAACCCCGGAAGUGCAUUUGAAACUAAGUGGCGUGAGUAUGGGAGAGGGAAGUGGAAGUCCUGGUGUAGAGGUGAAAUUCGUAGAUAUCAGGAGGAACACCGGUGGCGAAGGCGACUUCCUGGACCAAUACUGACGCUGAGGUGCGAAGGCGUGGGGAGCAAACAGGAUUAGAUACCCGGGUAGUC